rnacentral:lncRNA from 1 species
ACGAAGGGCGGACUCAUGAUGAACGGUCUUUGAUAUUCUUUAGAGAAGACCUACCAUCACGACUUUGCCAAUAUGUUGGCUCAAGUGGGAAAGUACAUGCAGAUCGAUGAAGCAUUCGAAGAUGAGUCUCCGACAAAUGUGGCUAUCGGAGAGAAGAAGAAAGAAGAGGUGAUGAAGUCUUUGCCAAGGACUUAGCAGUGCUUCCGCUCUCUACCCAAAUGUCGAAGGCCCUGAACUCCCUUGUAGAAUCGCCAAUAAAUAAAUUCCUUCAGAGGAGAGCGGCAUGUGUCUUCACCUAGAAGGUUCAUAAACUACAUGCCACUAAACACUGCAUAAGCCCAAGUGUUGAUAGAGAUU